UACGUAGGGGCGAGCGUUGUCCGGAAUCAUUGGGCGUAAAGCGCGUGUAGGCGGCUCGAUAAGUCCGGUGUGAAACCUUGGGGCUCAACCCCAAGCCUGCACUGGAUACUGCCGAGCUAGAGUCCGGGAGGGGAGAGCGGAAUUCCUAGUGUAGCGGUGAAAUGCGCAGAUAUUAGGAAGAACACCGGUGGCGAAGGCGGCUCUCUGGAACGGUACUGACGCU
rnacentral:rRNA from 1 species